rnacentral:rRNA from 1 species
GACGAACGCUGGCGGCGUGCCUAAUACAUGCAAGUAGAACGCACAGUUUAUACCGUAGCUUGCUACACCAUAGACUGUGAGUUGCGAACGGGUGAGUAACGCGUAGGUAACCUGCCUGGUAGCGGGGGAUAACUAUUGGAAACGAUAGCUAAUACCGCAUAAUAUUAAUUAUUGCAUGAUAAUUAAUUGAAAGGUGCAAUUGCACCACUACCAGAUGGACCUGCGUUGUAUUAGCUAGUAGGUGAGGUAACGGCUCACCUAGGCGACGAUACAUAGCCGACCUGAUAGGGUGGUCGGCCACACUGGGACUGAGACACGGCCCAGACUCCUACGGGAGGCAGCAGUAGGGAAUCUUCGGCAAUGGACGAAAGUCUGACCGAGCAACGCCGCGUGAGUGAAGAAGGUUUUCGGAUCGUAAAGCUCUGUUGUAAGGGAAGAACGGGUGUGAGAGUGGAAAGUUCACACUGUGACGGUAUCUUACCAGAAAGGGACGGCUAACUACGUG